UAGGUUGGUCGAAAAGUCUUU
rnacentral:piRNA from 1 species